rnacentral:lncRNA from 1 species
AAGACUUAUAUUUAGGAGCGGAGGAAGUAGUACAAAUGUCCGUGUGUUGCACCGAGCAAAAAAUUAAAUAUAACCUGCUCCACGUGCCAUUAUGCAACACUUUUUAAUCUAAUUUUUUGCAAAGUCAGGAAUAAGGUUACACCGAAUAUUUCUUUUUUGGCCAUGAAAUUUGGACGUAUCCUAACAAUGUUCAUCCUGACCUAUUUCAGCUCCACACUCUCAUUUCAUCCGAUGAAAGACCUAUUUCAGCUCCACACUCUCAUUUCAUCCGAUGAAAGAGUAGUGCGUUGCAAAGAGAGAAAAAUAAUAUGGCACACCCCCACUGGCGGAGCUGGCCAUGGCCCGCCCAUUCAAGAGCAAAUGCAGUGUAGGAUUAAAGUAAAUUGAGUCACGAGGACAAAAAAUAGUGGUCUUUCUUCAUACCGGCCCGCCCAGCUUUUGCUACGUAGCUCCGCUAGCUACUACACACCCCUAUCUUUAUAAGAAUGGCUCAGAACCCACUACAACUUCACUUCGUCUAUUUGAACAUGGCACUCCAUGUAGAAAUAGUAGCUAGUUCAAAAUUAUUCAGCCACGUACUAUCUGGUUAAUUUCUGUAAAAAGAAAUUAAGAGGUUAAUUAAUUAGUCAUCCCUUUGAAUAGUAAUGCUCACCUUUUGUGAUGCUUAGAUUGGACGGUGAAAUUUAGAAACUCACCUCAUCUCUCCAUCCUAACGUAUACCCUUCGCUAGUCUCAUGAAGAUGAGAUCUAUGAAGAUUCAACAUAGUACCUGUAGAAAGAAAAUAGUUAUGUACCAGUAGGAAGCAACUCUAUGCAUGUCCUUACUCGUUAAUAAUCUCAGGCCAUGAUUGCAUCAGCAUCCAAUUGUUUUCGGUUUGCUACACUGAUCAAUUUGUUUGGAGCAAUGACCAUAAUAUCAAACUACUGGAUGAGAUUGCUUUCAGUCUGCAAGACAGAUCAAUUUUCUUGAAAUAAUCACAAAGCUAUCAAACAACUGGAAGGAAUGAACUAUGAAAAAAUCUAAGGAGAGCUAUUCGAAUGAAACUAUCGGCAUGCAGAAGUACAGCUUUCAGCAAUGGUAAUAAAUAGAAUGACCUAGACGCAUGCCAAGCAAUGUGAAAAUGAAUGUUCUUUGCGUAAAUAUUUCUUCAUCUUUAGCUAGUAUGUAACAAAUAUGGCAUUAGCCAUAUGAUAUAAUACAGUAGAACAUAUAAGUACGUUCUUUUUCAAAGACUUAGCACAAAGAACCAAAUCAUCCAGUUAGUCGGUUCACUUAAAAUCAAUCCACAUACUUGUCAUGUCGCAGACAUUUACCUUUGGUAAACUAAGUAAUUAACAUUCGCAGAUAUUGUUAUGCUUUCUUGUUAGGAAAAGCAAUCAAAAUUCCCCAAAAGGCAUUAAGUUGUCACACAGUUGUAUGUCUGCGUCUUGUCCAGAAGGUUUAAGCAACCGUCAAAUGUGGCCAUUAAGCAAGUUGAGACUACCUUUUGCAGAGAAUAAAUAUGAUCCCAAAAGAAUAAUUCCCUGUGGCGACUUGGAAAAUAAAUGUGCUGCCGAGUAAUUAACUUCAUAAUUAAGCACACAAGUCAUCUGCAUCAAUACCGUUACAUUAAAAUGUAGCAACAACAUGUUAUUUUAGCAUUAUUCCCUUGGAAUUUGUACAAUGUAGUGAUGAAUGCGUGGCACAAAAAAGAGAUGUGGCAUUAUGGUUGGUACCUUGAAAAAGGCCUUGCUCUUGAGCUGGUUGUCCACUGCUCAUGAACUGAACGAAACUAGUAGACGGCCCGUGCGUUACCACGGGCUUUUUAAAUUUUAUAUAUCGCUUGCAUCUUAGAGAAAUAAUGAUAGAGAGAUGUUAAGUUCAUCGUAGUGUUCAUUUGGUUAUACUGGAGAAAUAAGAUAACAUUCCCUCAGACAAAUUUAUUUUUAUUGAUAAAUGAAUUCCCUCCUGCCUAAGUGGUUGACCUGGUAGGCAAAGGAGAAUUUCAUAACAUGUAUAUGGUACCUUGCUAGAAUAAAAAAAUUAACUGAUAUAUUUGCCUCAAAAUCAGAAUGGAUGAAAUUCCCACAGAAAAUAUAGCGUGCGAUUACGAGGAUUAAUAGCACACUAAAUCGUAUUUCUGAAUGCAUAGGACUGCAGAAGUGUUAUUUCUUUGGAAAAAAUGGACAGAGCAAAUGAGGACGGUCCAAUGCAGGUUCUGCCGCUUCUAUUGUACACAUGUGUUUAUACAUAAUCUGUUGGAAACAAAAAGGAACAAAAUAUGUUGAGUAGGCAACGGUAUGUUUUAGAAGAUGAUGACUUCCUAAUAUUGAAGCACAUAACUGAACUCUACUGAAUAGUGGCAGAUGAAUCAUAGGUACAGGAAAAGAGUGAACAAAUAGGUAUUAUUUCUGUUACUCACAGCCUACAUGUACAACAUUGAGAAGCUCCUCUUGAAUCAAGCUUACAACAGUGAGCAUUGUACAAUCAUUCUCUCUUGUUGCUAGCCAGUGUUGAGAACGCCUGUGCAACGGAUAAGUAUUGCAAUGUUCUCCUUGAUAGGUUCAUGAAGAUUGCCAGCAAUGAGAAUCACAUCCAGUAUUUACGCCUCAAAAUCUCACCAUUGGUACUCAUGGGAAUUAAUUUGUAGUACUAAAAAGAAUGAUAUAGCUCUCGCAAGAAACUUCAUAUAACUUCAGUGCUGGUUUUUCUAAGUCAAAAUUUCAGCAUAUAUGUGAAUAUUAAAUUGAUCUCGCAUACCUAGAGAAAUUAGGAAAAAUUGUAAGGCUAUAGUGCGGUUGGCGUGCCUACCGUGUCCUCACCGGUUGUAGCGUGACCCCUACAUCCUUGGUGGCAGCCGCGGCGCCCACGUCCACCUUCAUCCACCCUUGGGCAGGAACAGUAUAACAGAAAAAUAGUGUGGACCAAAUGUUCAUGGAAUUUUGCAAUAUGAUAUAGCUACAGACGGGUAUGAUUGGCAACAAUCCUAAAAUUAAUAUUGUACCAUAAUGUCUAGCUCAGGAAUUUUACACUGCACCAACAUUUAGCACGACGGCAACAACCACAUGACUCCAUCACUCGUGACUGAUAUAAUACCGUCUCUUCCUUAUGUGAAACCACAAAUAUUAAAUUCUAUUGUUAAAGAUAUAUUCCUAACACGUGAAGAAGAGGGAAAAGCAAUAUGGCAAUUUAAUGUCUCAUCGACCCUGCAAGUUGGCAGCAUCCAAAGUGUGAUCGAUUUUAAACAUAAUCUUUAACUACAAUAAUGUGUACAAUACAAUUCAUCAUUUCUUUAUUCUAGGCAUUUUUUUACUCCCUCCGUUUCUAAAUAUAAGACCUUUUAGAGAUUCCACUGUGGACUACAUACGGAUGUAUAUAGACAUACUUUAGAGUGUAGAUUUACUCCUUUUGUUACGUAUGUAGUCUAUAGUGAAAUCUCUAAAAGAUCUUACAUUUAGAAACGGAGGGAGUACCCUGAAUAAAGAGAUAACACAAGGACAAACUUGUGAGAGACAGAGAGAACCCAGUCAGCAUCUCAGACCGUGAAUAAGAACUCCUAUCAAACACUCCAAGUUUUAUGUUACCAUCUAAUUAAACAAUAGUAGUAUAAUAAUAAACUGUGAACCUGAGACGGUUAGGGUUUGGCGAGGUACCUGGAGGGAGGAGGCCGGAGAGUCCUGGAGGUCAUCAACAUGCGGGUAUUAUGCGAUCGUGGAAUUGCUGGUGCCGCGACGACAAGCGACCUUUCCCCAUCGCAGAGUCGUCAUCGUCAGCACUGGCCUCCUCCGACUGAUUGCGCUGCCAACGUCGCAUCAGGUCGUGAUACUGAGGAAAGUGGGAGAUGGCGGUCGUGUGUGGGUGUGGGUCUAGGGAUACAAAGCAUCCUAGAUUAC